rnacentral:rRNA from 1 species
CCCUUAGAUGUCCUGGGCUGCACGCGCGCUACACUGAUGUGUCCAGUAAGCACCUAACCUCUUCCGAAAGGAACGGGUAACCUUUGCAAAGCACAUCGUGAUGGGGAUAGAUUAUUGCAAUUAUUAGUCUUGAACGAGGAAUUCCUAGUAAGCACAAGUCAUCAGCUUGUGUUGAUUACGUCCCUGCCCUUUGUACACACCGCCCGUCGCUCCUACCGAUUGAAUGUUCCGGUGAAUUGUUCGGACCUGCUGGUUCUUCGGUUUCGGAGUUCUAGUGGGAAAGUUCUGUGAACCUUAUCACUUAGAGGAAGGAGAAGUCGUAACA